AGUAACGGUGUGUGUCAUAGCCAGAGGUAGUCCUGAGUAACGGUGUGGUGUGUGUCAUGGCCAGAGGUAGUCCUGAGUAACGGUGUGGUGUGUGUCAUGGCCAGAGGUAGUCCUGAGUAACGGUGUGUGUCAUGGCCAAAGGUAGUCCUGAGUAACGGUGUGUGUCAUGGCCAGAGGUAGUCCUGAGUAACGGUGUGUGUCAUGGCCAAAGGUAGUCCUGAGUAACGGUGUGUGUCAUGGCCAGAGGUAGUCCUGAGUAACGGUGUGUGUCAUGGCCAAAGGUAGUCCUGAGUAACGGUGUGUGUCAUGGCCAGAGGUAGUCCUGAGUAACGGUGUGUGUCAUGGCCAGAGGUAGUCCUGAGUAACGGUGUGUGUCAUGGCCAGAGGUAGUCCUGAGUAACGGUGUGUGUCAUGGCCAGAGGUAGUCCUGAGUAACGGUGUGUGUCAUGGCCAGAGGUAGUCCUGAGUAACGGUGUGUGUCAUGGCCAGAGGUAGUCCUGAGUAACGGUGUGUGUCAUGGCCAGAGGUAGUCCUGAGUAACGGUGUGUGUCAUGGCCAGAGGUAGUCCUGAGUAACGGUGUGUGUCUUGGCCAGAGGUAGUCCUGAGUAACGGUGUGGUGUGUGUCAUAGCCAGAGGUAGUCCUGAGUAACGGUGUGGUGUGUGUCAUACCCAGAGGUAGUCCUGAGUAACGGUGUGGUGUGUGUCAUGGCCAGAGGUAGUCCUGAGUAACGGUGUGUGUCAUGGCCAGAGGUAGUCCUGAGUAACAGUGUUUGUCAUGGCCAGAGGUAGUCCUGAGUAACGGUGUGGUGUGUGUCAUAGCCAGAGGUAGUCCUGAGUAACGGUGUGGUGUGUGUCAUACCCAGAGGUAGUCCUGAGUAAUGGUGUGGUGUGUGUCAUGGCCAGAGGUAGUCCUGAGUAACGGUGUGUGUCAUGGCCAGAGGUAG